CAGCAGCCACGGGAAUACGUAGGUGGCAAGCGUUGUCCGGAAUUAUUGGGCGUAAAGGGCUCGCAGGUGGUUUCUUAAGUCUGAUGUGAAAGCCCCCGGCUCAACCGGGGAGGGUCAUUGGAAACUGGGAAACUUGAGUGCAGAAGAGGAGAGUGGAAUUCCACGUGUAGCGGUGAAAUGCGUAGAGAUGUGGAGGAACACCAGUGGCGAAGGCGACUCUCUGGUCUGUAACUGACGCUGAGGAGCGAAAGCGUGGGGAGCGAACAGGAUUAGAUACCCGAGUAGUCCCUGUCUCUUAUAC
rnacentral:rRNA from 1 species